CUUUUCAAAGCCCAAAAAAACCCAAAUUCUCUCUGAAAAAUUUCUGUCUUCUUCUUCUUCCUCGGAACAGAGCCUUCAAAUUCAUCGUUGCUUCUGCUUCUCUUCUCUCUCAACUUCUUGUCUGAAAAUCGUCUCAAUCUCUUUUGCUUUGGUAAACGGGAUUCAAUUUUGCGUUCAAGUAGUAAGGGAUGGCAUCCGGUGGCGAAGCGGUGGCGUGGGUGCCGCAGGAGGAUGGACUGAGGGAGAUCUGUGGGCUUCUAGAGCAGCAGGUGGCUCCCACCGCCGAUGAUAAAUCGGUGAUUUGGCAGAAGCUAGAGCACUAUUCUCAGUUCCCCGAUUUCAAUAAUUAUCUCUCCUUCAUUUUCGCGCGAGCGGAGGGAAUCUCGGUUGAGGUCAGGCAAGCAGCGGGCCUUCUACUGAAAAACAACCUUAGAAGUGCAUUGAAAACCAUGCCGCAUGCAAACCAACAAUAUAUAAAGACGGAGUUGUUACCUUGUGUGGCAGCAGCUGAUAAACAAAUUCGGUCUACAGCUGGGACCAUUACUAGUACUUUUGUUCAGAUUGGGGGAGUUGCUGAGUGGCCUGAAUUGCUACAUGCGCUUGUAAAGUGUUUAGAUAGUAAUGAUUUCAAUCACAUGGAAGGUGCUAUGGAUGCUUUGUCUAAGAUUUGUGAAGAUGUUCCCCAAGUACUUGAUUCUGAUAUUUCUGCAUUAUCUGAACGGCCCAUUAAUGCUUUUAUUCCUAGAUUCCUUCAGCUAUUCCAGUCACCGCAUGCUACACUGCGAAAACUUGCCUUGGGUUCGGUGAAUCAGUAUGUUAUGCUAAUGCCUACUGUUCUACAUGUGUCUAUGGAUAAAUAUUUGCAAGGUUUGUUUCUUCUUGCUAAUGACCCAACUCCGGAGGUGCGGAAGCUGGUGUGUGCUGCAUUUGUUCAGCUAAUUGAAGUUCGUUCUGCUGCAUUGGAGCCACAUUUAAGGAACGUCAUCGAGUAUAUGUUGGUAGUCAACAAAGACCAAGAUGAUGAAGUGGCUCUAGAGGCCUGUGAAUUUUGGUCUGCCUAUUGUGAAGCUGAACUGCCUCCUGAAAACUUGCAAGAGUUUUUACCACGUCUUCUUCCAAUUUUGCUUUCAAACAUGGCAUAUUCAGAUGAUGAUGAAUCUAUUGUUGAGGCCGAGGAGGACGGAGCUCUUCCAGAUAGGGAGCAGGAUCUGAAGCCUCGUUUUCACGCAUCUCGCUUUCAUGGAUCGGAGGAUGUGGAAGAUGAGGAUGAUGAUAUCGUAAAUGUAUGGAACUUACGUAAAUGCAGUGCAGCUGCUCUGGACUUCCUGUCCAAUGUGUUUGGAGAUAGGAUCUUGCCCACCUUGAUGCCCAUUGUGCAGGCAAAGUUGUCUGCUACUGGUGAUGAAGCCUGGAAAGAUAGGGAAGCUGCUGUUUUAGCCCUUGGUGCAAUAGGCGAGGGAUGUAUUAACGGCCUGUAUCCACAUUUGUCUCAGAUUAUUGCAUUUCUUGUUCCUCUCUUAGAUGACAAGUAUCCUCUGAUAAGGAGCAUCUCUUGUUGGACACUAUCACGAUUCAGCAAAUAUAUUGUUGAGGGAGCUCAUCAAGAAGGUCAUGAUCAGUUUGACAAAGUUUUGACGGGUUUACUACGAAGAUUAGUGGAUGAUAAUAAGAGGGUUCAAGAAGCUGCUUGUUCGGCAUUUGCAACACUUGAAGAGGAAGCUGCAGAAGAGUUGGUACCACGAUUGGACAUCAUUCUGCAACACUUAAUGUGGGCCUUUGGGAAAUAUCAGAGAAGGAAUCUCAGAAUUGUAUAUGAUGCUCUGGGGACAUUAGCAGAUGCUGUUGGUGGCGAACUGAAUCAGCCUAAAUACCUUGAAAUCUUGAUGCCCCCACUGAUUACAAAGUGGCAGCAGCUUUCAGACUCUGACAAAGAUCUUUUCCCACUCCUUGAAUGCUUUACAUCAAUAGCACAGGCACUGGGUACUGGAUUUUCGCAGUUUGCUCAACCAGUGUAUCAGAGGUGCAUAAGCAUCAUCCAGACUCAACAACUGGCCAAGGCCAAUCCUGUUUCAGCUGGCACACCAUAUGAUAAAGAGUUCGUAGUUUGCUGUUUGGAUCUUCUCUCAGGACUUACUGAGGGUCUUGGUCCUGGCAUUGAGAGUUUGGUUUCACAAAGUAAUUUACGAGAUUUGCUGCUGCAAUGCUGUGUGGAUGAUGCCUAUGAUGUCAGACAAAGUGCUUUUGCGCUGCUGGGGGACCUUGCUAGAGUCUGUCCUGUUCAUUUACAUCCAAGAUUAGCUGAGUUCCUUGAUGUUUCUGCUAAGCAAUUGCAGAACCUCCCAAAGCUGAAGGAAACGGUAUCUGUAGCCAACAAUGCAUGCUGGGCAAUUGGUGAACUAGCAAUAAAGGUUCGCAAAGAGAUAUCUCCAGUAGUUCUGACUGUGGUAUCAGCUUUGGUCCUAGUACUUCAACAUCCUGAGGGCCUCAAUAAAUCACUCAUUGAGAAUGCAGCCAUUACACUUGGAAGGCUUGCAUGGGUUUGCCCAGAACUUGUCUCACCACACAUGGAGCAUUUCAUGCAGUCAUGGUGUAUUGCUUUGUCCAUGAUACGAGAUGACAUAGAGAAGGAAGAUGCUUUCAGAGGUUUAUGUGCAAUGGUUAGAGCAAAUCCAUCCGGGGCCUUAAAUUCUCUUCUCUUUAUGUGCAAGGCAAUUGCAAGUUGGCAUGAAAUAAGGAGUGAGGACCUACACAAUGAAGUCUGCCAGGUGUUGCAUGGGUAUAAACAAAUGCUCAAGGAUGGAGCAUGGGAACAAUGCAUGUCUGCUUUGGAGCCACCUGUUAAGGAUAAGCUGUGCAAAUAUCAACUGCAAUGAUCCUCGUGGUGGAGGGUAUUCCUUAUAUGCCUUCGUCCAAGAUUCAAUAUCAACUGCAAUGAUCCUCGUGGUGGAGGGUAUUCCUUAUAUGCCUUCGUCCAAGAUUCAAUAUCAACUGCAAUGAUCCUCGUGGUGGAGGGUAUUCCUUAUAUGCCUUCGUCCAAGAUUCGCCAAGUCAUUGUCUUCUGAUCUUCUCUUCUUGUCAUUGACUCAAGUAUGUUCCAAUUAUUGGAUGCAUUUUCUGCUGGGGAUCUAUUAAGGCGAUGAUUUCUUGUUGGGCCUUGAAGUUUAUCACGCUGUGCUUAGGGACUGCUUUCGUACAGUAUCAUCGUUUUCAUUGGGAAAUUGGUUUGUGCUUCUUUGGAUUUCCGUACACGUUUGCAGGGCGGUAUAUAGAAGAAGUGGUAGGUCUGAAUUUUGAUUCAUAUUUUUUUGUUGACAUUUUGGGUCGUGGAGUUGUGAAAUUCUUUGUUUAGUGGGAAGAAAUCCAGUACACAAGUUUUGUUAGGAUGGUGUCGAUGCUUUGUUAGGAUAUGUUGAUUCUGUAAUUUGUUUGUAGGCAGGUUUCCCGUAUAGAUGAUGAGAACUCACAGAAAAAAUAAAAUGUACAAUAGUCUUUUGAGUGAUGAUUUGAUACGAAUAUUAUGUCUUUGCUUUAAAAUUUUAAUGUUGU